GUGGGGAAUCUUGCGCAAUGGGCGAAAGCCUGACGCAGCCAUGCCGCGUGAAUGAUGAAGGUCUUAGGAUUGUAAAAUUCUUUCACCGGGGACGAUAAUGACGGUACCCGGAGAAGAAGCUCCGGCUAACUUCGUGCCAGCAGCCGCGGUAAUACGAAGGGGGCUAGCGUUGCUCGGAAUUACUGGGCGUAAAGGGCGCGUAGGCGGACAGCUUAGUCAGGGGUGAAAGCCCAGGGCUCAACCUUGGAAUUGCCUUUGAUACUGGCUGUCUUGAGUUUGGGAGAGGUGAGUGGAACUCCGAGUGUAGAGGUGAAAUUCGUAGAUAUUCGGAAGAACACCAGUGGCGAAGGCGACUCACUGGCCCAAUACUGACGCUGAGGCGCGAAAGCGUGGGGAGCAAACAGGAUUAGAAACCCCUGUAGUCC
rnacentral:rRNA from 1 species